CAAAUCUGGAUUCUCACGGAUUGCAAAUACAGGACAGACAGCCAGUCCCUUGAACUUUUCAUUGUACCAAUUUGGAGGUAACGGUAUGACAACUGAUGGGCCCAUAUGUUGUUGGAUGAACCAAUUUGGAACUUCAAUUCCAGGAACAAUAACAUCAAAUCUACAUCCUGGAAAUGAGACAUCCUGAAGCUGAUUCAUUGAUAAAGACUGCAAAUGGCUUCUUAAAAAUUUAAAUGGCAUACUGUCACCACCUUGAUUCACAGAAAGCUUGAAACAAUUAGUGAAGUAGAAAAUUGGCCACAUCCAUUUGCCUGUAAUUGAGUCUGGACUUGAUAAUGUUUCUAGUGAGAUGCAAUUAUUUGCAGAUAUUUCAUGUAUGGUUGCUGGAAGCUUUCGCAAAGCCUUAAGAUUCUUGCAGUCAUCCAAAUAGAGAUAUCGCAGCUGAGGAAGUUGACUGAUGCUUGCAGGUGUAUUUACAAAAUUAUUUCUGCUUAUAUUUAAUACCUGCAGUGAGGAUAGACAAUAAAAGUCUCCAGGUAUCAUUUCCUCUGAAAGGUUGCAGUCACUGAGGUCUAGUUCUGUUAGAGAAUGUAAACC
rnacentral:misc_RNA from 1 species